rnacentral:rRNA from 1 species
UACGGGGGGAGCAAGCGUUGUUCGGAUUUACUGGGCGUAAAGGGCGCGUAGGCGGUCAGCACAAGUCAGUUGUGAAAUCUCCGGGCUUAACUCGGAAAGGUCAACUGAUACUGUGCGACUAGAGUGCGGAAGGGGCAACUGGAAUUCUCGGUGUAGCGGUGAAAUGCGUAGAUAUCGAGAGGAACACCUGCGGCGAAGGCGGGUUGCUGGGCCGACACUGACGCUGAUGCGCGAAAGCCAGGGGAGCGAGCGGG